rnacentral:rRNA from 1 species
AUUGAACGCUGGCGGCGUGCCUAACACAUGCAAGUCGAGCGGUAACAGGUGUAGCAAUACAUGCUGACGAGCGGCGAACGGGUGAGUAAUGCUUCGGAAUCUACCCAAUGGUGGGGAAUAACCAGCCGAAAGGUUGGCUAAUACCGCAUACGUCCCACGGGAGAAAGCAGGGGAUCGCAAGACCUUGCGCCAAUGGAUGAGCCGAAGUCGGAUUAGCUAGUUGGAGGGUAACGGCCUACCAAGGCGACGAUCCGUAGCUGGUCUGAGAGGACGACCAGCCACACUGGGACUGAGACACGGCCCAGACUCCUACGGGAGGCAGCAGUGGGGAAUAUUGGACAAUGGGGGAAACCCUGAUCCAGCGACGCCGCGUGUGUGAAGAAGGCCUGCGGGUUGUAAAGCACUUUUAGUGGGAUGAAAUGUUCAGGGUUAACACCUCUGG